GAUGAACGCAGGCGGCGUGCCUAACACAUGCAAGUCGAACGAGAUGCGUAUCGGAAAGCUUCGGCCGGCAGAUACGUUAUCUAGUGGCGGACGGGUGAGUAACACGUGGGUAACCUGCCUUAUGGAGGGGGAUAACAGAGAGAAAUCACUGCUAAUACCGCAUAAGCACACAUUGCCGCAUGGCAGAGUGUGAAAAGAUUUAUCGCCAUAAGAUGGACCCGCGUCUGAUUAGCCAGUUGGCAGGGUAAAAGCCUACCAAAGCAACGAUCAGUAGCCGAUCUGAGAGGAUGACCGGCCACAUUGGGACUGAGACACGGCCCAAACUCCUACGGGAGGCAGCAGUGGGGAAUAUUGCACAAUGGGGGAAACCCUGAUGCAGCGACGCCGCGUGAGUGAAGAAGUAUUUCGGUAUGUAAAGCUCUAUCAGCAGGGAAGAUAAUGACAGUACCUGACUAAGAAGCCCCGGCUAACUAUGUGCCAGCAGCCGCGGUAAUACGUAGGGGGCAAGCGUUAUCCGGAUUUACUGGGUGUAAAGGGAGCGUAGACGGAGUGGCAAGUCUGAAGUGAAAACCCUGGGCUUAACCUGGGGACUGCUUUGGAAACUGUUAAUCUAGAGUGUUGGAGAGGUAAGUGGAAUUCCUGGUGUAGCGGUGAAAUGCGUAGAUAUCAGGAAGAACACCGGAGGCGAAGGCGGCUUACUGGACAAUAACUGACGUUGAGGCUCGAAAGCGUGGGGAUCAAACAGG
rnacentral:rRNA from 1 species